GGGGGAGUGGCGGAAUUGGCAGACGCGCAUGACUUAGGAUCAUGUAUCUUUAUGAUGUGAGGGUUCGAAUCCCUCCUUCCCCA
rnacentral:tRNA from 2 species